rnacentral:rRNA from 1 species
AUUGAACGCUGGCGGCAGGCCUAACACAUGCAAGUCGAACGAGUGGCGGACGGGUGAGUAAUGUCUGGGAAACUGACCGAUGGAGGGGGAUAACUACUGGAAACGGUAGCUAAUACCGCAUACCAUAGGAUGUGCCCAGAUGGGAUUAGCUUGUAGGGGAGGUAACGGCUCACCUAGGCGACGAUCCCGAGCUGGUCGGAGAGGAGGACGCGCGACAUCGGUGUUGAGACGCGGCCGAGACUCCGACGGGAGGUCGCAGUGGGGUAUAGGGCGCAAUGGGGGCGAGCCUUCUGCAGGCAUGCCGCGUGAAUGAAGAAGGCCUUCGUGUUGUAAAGUUCUUUCAGCGGGGAGGCGUUACCCGCAGAAGAAGCACCGGCUAACUCCGUGCCAGCAGCCGCGGGAAUAC